rnacentral:rRNA from 1 species
AUUGAACGCUGGCGGCAUGCCUAACACAUGCAAGUCGAACGGUAACGCAGAGAGCUUGCUCUUUGGCGACGAGUGGCGGACGGGUGAGUAAUGCUUAGGAAUCUGCCCAGUAGUGGGGGACAACUCGGGGAAACUCGAGCUAAUACCGCAUACGCCCUACGGGGGAAAGCGGGGGAUCUUCGGACCUCGCGCUAUUGGAUGAGCCUAAGUCGGAUUAGCUUGUUGGUGAGGUAACGGCUCACCAAGGCGACGAUCCGUAGCUGGUCUGAGAGGACGAUCAGCCACACUGGGACUGAGACACGGCCCAGACUCCUACGGGAGGCAGCAGUGGGGAAUAUUGGACAAUGGGGGCAACCCUGAUCCAGCAAUGCCGCGUGUGUGAAGAAGGCCUGCGGGUUGUAAAGCACUUUCAGUAGAGAAGAAAAGCUUACGGUUAAUACCCGUGAGUCUUGACGUAACCUACAGAAGAAGCACCGGCUAACUCCGUG